rfam:Pteropus alecto contig80804, whole genome shotgun sequence.
GGUUCCAUAGUGUAGCGGUUAGCAAGUCUGCUUUACACACAGAAGGUCCUGGGUUCGUGCCCCAAUGGAUCCA